GACGAACGCUGGCGGCGUGCUUAACACAUGCAAGUCGAACGGAAAGGCCCUGCUUUUGUGGGGUGCUCGAGUGGCGAACGGGUGAGUAACACGUGAGUAACCUGCCCUUGACUUUGGGAUAACUUCAGGAAACUGGGGCUAAUACCGGAUAGGAGCUCCUGCUUCAUGGUGGGGGUUGGAAAGUUUCGGCGGUUGGGGAUGGACUCGCGUCUUAUCAGCUUGUUGGUGGGGUAGUGGCUUACCAAGGCUUUGACGGGUAGCCGGCCUGAGAGGGUGACCGGCCACAUUGGGACUGAGAUACGGCACAGACUCCUACGGGAGGCAGCAGUGGGGAAUAUUGCACAAUGGGAGGAAGCCUGAUGCAGCAACGCCGCGUGCGGGAUGACGGCCUUCGGGUUGUAAACCGCUUUCGCCUGUGACGAAGCGUGAGUGACGGUAAUGGGUAAAGAAGCACCGGCUAACUACGUG
rnacentral:rRNA from 1 species